UCCCAGGAAUAGUUCUUGGUAUGCAUAGAGAUCACAGAUAAAGAACAGGCCUGGCGCUGCACAAUUGAUAUGAUCUAUAUGUAAAGAGUUGAAAGUGUAUGUCUUUUUCCCUGAAUCAUUAUGACAAACAGUGGUAAGGAUUUCAGUCGACACUUUGUAGCCUGCUUUUCCUGAAUGAAGAUAUAUUUUUCUUUUCUAUUUUUCACGAGAUGUUGCAUUAGGAAUAAGUAUCAAGUGAGGAGGUAUUUCUACCAUGGGGAUAGUUUAAUGGGAUUUCUUGGUAAGCUUGGUAAGUAUUUUUAUUUCCUCUUUGCAUGGGUUAUGAAAGUACCAUAAACACUCAAGAUUAUUUUAAGAGGUGAUUGGGUUGAUUUUUCUCUCUGGAUAAAAUAUUGGCUGUGUGUAAUUCUAUAUAAUUAUAACAACCAGCCUGAAUGUCUGGGUUGGGAGAUAAUCAUUGUAAGUAUAAAGGAGAUGUUCAGAUCAUACUCUUGACGGGCUGUUUGCUAGUGUUAAGCAGAGGUAUUCCUAUGAUUUGAGUGACCCCUGGAGUUGGAAAUGGGUAACAGGCCCAGCAAGAGGUCAGGUUAGUAGAUGAGGAAACAUUCUUAGAAACAAGGUGAGGAAGUAAUAUAUUUUGUUUCAGAAAAGGGAGGGGAAAAUGAAGAAAAGUAGAGUCAUAGAAAACACAGAGAAGGAAAUCAGUAGUCCAUAGUGACAUAUUAACAAUCUUACAAGGAAGGCAGUAGGUUUGAUUGGAUAUAAUAAAGUUCUAGUUUUGUUUCAUUGUCUUGGGUGGAAUUUGCACUUCUGAAGUUGUCUGCUUGAUCAGAAAGGUCUCCGAUAACCUGUUUGUGCCUUGAAGCCAUCUGCUUCUGGAGGCUUCUUUGGUUAGCCUCAACUUGCAGUCUGUCAUGGGAGUGAACGUCCAUUGGUCUGAGUUGGAAGUUCCUUUUCAUUAUGACAUAUUACACCCUGGGUAGACUUCUGUAGCUGUUGUCAAGAGGACCUGAAAUGGCUCCUUUCAGUAAUUUAAAGCAUUUUUGCAUCUAUAUCACUUAGUAUUUUCUGCAAAACAAACCACCCCCAGACUAGGUAGGUUAAAACAACCAUUUAUUUAUUCAUGAUUCUGUGGAGCAAUUUGGCUGGGAACAGCUGGGAUAGCUUUGCUCUGCUCUGCUCCUCAUGGUGUUGUCUGGCCUUAUGCACACAUUAUAGUCCGCUGAUAGUUGAUGGUCUCAUUCACACAUCUGGCGGUUGCUGGCUGUUGGCAGGGCAACGGAGGUAACUGGGCCCAUCAUCUAGCAGGCUAGCCUGAGCUCAUUCACAUGAUAUUGGUUGAGAGUUCCUAAGAGCAGCAAGAGAGGGCAAACUCCAAUGUGCGAGCAGUUUUCAAACCUCUGCUUGGGUCAUGUUGUUAAUGCCUUGUUGGCCAAAGCAAGUCAUUUCCAAGCCCAGACUCAAAGAAUAGAGAAAUAGUCUCCAUCUCCUUAUGGAAAGAUCUGCAGUCACAUACAAAGAAGCAUGCAUAUGGGAUGGGAAGAAUUUGUGGCCAUUUUUGCAAUUAAACACACACUGAUAUCUUUUCUGGUGAAGCUGGUCACUGAGCUAGGAGUCAUACAAAGAUGUGGAUGAUGUGUCUUUUGGAAAGGUGGCUUGUGCAUGUUGAGCAUAAGACAGUACACUAGAUUGACUUCUUACAGUAUUCAGCUAGAUCUGCAUGCAACAAAAUAGAGUGAUUGGUGGCAUUUUUCCCAAUCACAUAGGACAUCCUGUAAUGAUGUCCUAUGGAAAACAAUCUGUAUGAGCUCUGAGGAGGUGAUCAUGUGGCCGUUAACAAUACUGACAAAACAUUAGACUAAGGCAGAUUAAGGAUUUUUGAUAGUUUAGGAGUCAGCAAAUUUUCUCAGUGAAGGGCCAGAUAGUAAAUUUUAUAUCGGCUUUGAAGGCCAAAUAUAAUCUCUGUCACAUAUUCCAUAUUCUCUUCCUCCUCCUUUUUUUUUUUUUAAACAAAAUUUUAAAAUACGUAAGAAACACUUUUUUAGCUUGCGGACCGUAUGAAGAGUCUGUAGGCCAGAUUUGUCCCAUGGGCUGUAGUUUGCCAACCCCUGAUUGGGACAGUUUUAUCUUCAGUGUCUCAUUUAUUCUUUCUACCUUUCCUGCAUGGGGAGUACAGUUUUUAUGUUAGGAGAGAAACCCUGCAGAGUUCCUAUAUGAUUGUUACAGUGAAAUGAAUUCCACAGUCACUGGGUAGGAAAGUAGGCAUUCCCCAUGCUAGGAACACAAAGUCUAACAACUGUAACAUCUGUAGCUUCUCAUCAAGGAAUGGGUUUUUCCAUCCUGAAAACUUACAGACUACUGAUAGUAAAUAUAGCCUAGAGACCUGGCUAGUUGUAUAAAAUCGGUUACUAAAUGUUCAAAGGGCCUUGAGAAGGAGUUUCUGUAUUUUGUCUUGACCCUCUCGGGUUUACCUGGGUUAUGUUAGCACAGGUAAGAUGUAAUUUUACCACUUCCUAGUCAAAUUUUGAAAAUUUUUCCAUUAUUUAUCUACUGUGGAACUUGAUUUGUUCCUGAUGUAGAAAAUCAUGGGAAAUUUAAUUAGCAUCCACUGGUUGGAUCGUGGUACUCCUGAGCAGUUGUCAGGAGAUUCUCAGAACCCAUCUUUAUGGAGAAAAUGUCCCUGUAAUUGCCAAUAUUGUUUUUCAGAAGUUUGGGUUGACUGUUAUGAGCCAAUUAUAGCGAGUCUAAAUUGAGCCAGUUUUCCUUCCAAGUUUGGUGGGGAUACAUGUCAAUUUGGUAGAACUCAUAGUUGGGGUAAUAAAAGCUGCUUGUUAGAAUGUGAGUUAGCAAGGGCAUUCAUUGGUUUCUGGAAGAAGGUGUUGUCUAUGAGUAUCUCCCUUAACUGACAGGUGUUUUUCAAUAUCGAAUAGCUUUUAGUGAAUCAUUAAUAUCUUUACCAUUUUCAUUAAGGUAUCUUAAGAAACCAAAAUCCCCUUUUUUUCCCUUAGCAUCCCAAAGUUAUGAACAAUUCCAAAGUCAUAUAUAUCUGUUUAAUGUUUACCAUUUCUCCAUUUGCCAGAGUGCAAGUCAGAGAAAUCAGUUCAUUCACAUGGGCAGAUUGAACAUUAGGCAAAAUGGAGCAGCUGGUAGCUGCAUGUUCAGUGGUGGCAGUGUAUCCUGCUCAGGAAGUGCCUUUAUCCUUUCUAAGAUAAGAGCCAUCUACAAACAGACUUAAAUUAGAAUUGACUAAAAUUUGACCUGGGCAUUCUUAUGUAUAUAGUUUUUGCUUUUUCCUGAAGUAUAUAAUUUACACAGAAAAUUGCUCAUCCUGAAGAGCUCAGUGAAUUUUCACACGUGUAUACAUACCUGUGUAACUACCUCCCAGCUGGAAAUAGAACAUUUCCUAGCACUUCAGAAGGUUCCUUUGUGCCCCCUUCCCAGUUAAAACAUACCCCUUCUUGUCCAGAGGUAACCACCUUUCUGACUUCUACCACCAUCAGUUAGUUUUGCUUGUUCUUGAAUUUCGUGUAAGUGGAAUCAUACAGUGGAUAGUCAUUUCCUUUUGUCUGCUUUUGUGCAGUAUAAUGUCUCUGCGUUCAUCAAUAGUUUGUUAUAUUUAUCGUCAUGUGGCAUUCCAUUGUAUAUAUAUUCCACAAUUUAUUUAUUUAUUCUCCUUUUGACGGACACUUGAGCUAUUGCUACUCUUAAUUCUGAAUAAAGCUGCUAUGAAUAUUAUUGUAUUCUGGUGGACAGAUGCACUAAUUUCUCUUGGGUAUUUUUCUAGGUAAUAGGGUAAGCAGAUGUUUAUAUUUAGUAGGAUUUAGGCAUUCUUAAUCCCCGAGAUAUCAUUAAACAGUCAUGGAUUCCUCUUCAUCUAGAAGGGGAAGUGAGUGGUGGAAUUAAAAUGUGAAUGACGUUAAGCUGCGAUACGUGAAGUGCACAGUGAAGAAUUUCCUAAGCCGUACAGCAGCUGACAGAGAAAAGCUGAGUGUUGCCUGUAAGUAUCAGGGAUUGCACAGCACAUGGAAUGCAGAGUUAGUGCAGAAGUAAGCGCUCAUCAGCCUAGAGCAGAAGCUUUGAUCAAUUAGAUGCUGCUGCCCUCAUAUGUGGGCAGGGAGGGUGGGUUGUGACUCCAGAUCAAAAGAGUUGUUCAGAUAGGCAACAGACUUCUGGUGUGAACCUCUCUACUAAAUUAACACACCUAGCGCUCGCUUCGGCAGCACAUAUACUAAAUUAACACACCUAUUAGGCAACCUUGUCUUCCCUGAACGAUUAGAAGGGUUUGGCACAAUUAGGGACAUGCAAAGUAUAGAGUUGCUGUGGGGAGCUUCUACCUUAGGAAGGGUUCUGGAUUCAUGUUUUAGUACUCUUGUUUGGGCAAUCCUGAAUAUCCUCUCAGUUGUUUUUGAGUUUAGGCGCUUGAAUAUAAUGGAAUAGUUUUUAUUUUGGAGGAGGACAGAGAGUGUCUGCCUAUAGACAGAUCAUGACCAAAAUUAAGUAGUUUCAUAUUUUAUAGUUAGUUUGUAGUUACAAGUUUUCAAUUAUGUAGACCAGAAUUACAUAGAAUUGUAACUUUUCUCUAGACGCUUUGUGUCCUUUUUCAGUCAAUUUUAUUAAGAGAUAUUUGAAGCCUUCCUGUGAACAACUCGGAUCAGGAGAACACAGCAAUAAAUUAUCUACCUGUUGUAUUAGAGUGGAUUCUCAUGGGAAAAUGGAAUCAUUAAGGUAAUUUACUUGGACACUGAGAAAAAUAUGAGGGUGAUUCCAUAAGUCCUCAAGCCCCAUGGUAUUUGCACAUGUCCUCAAGCCCCUCAAGUCCUCAAGCAAGAAAGCAACCAAUUCUUCUUAACUACUGGUUGCUAAAGAAUGCUGCACAUAUAUCCACUGCCAUAAAAUAAUUACUUGUAGAGGGAAUGGAGAACAAGGUAGUAUUUGGGUAGGAAUAUGAUGAAUCUAAGAAUCAUAAUUCUUUUGAUUUCUCUGAGGUCUUAAAUCAGUAGCAUUUCCCAUUAGGUUUAUUAAUUAGCAAUGUGAGCAUUGCAAGGACUGGUGCAGCAGAAUUAGCCCAUGUUCUUAAAAAAUGGCUUUGAAUACGAGAUCCUUCAGGUUUGAGUAAGUCUUGGGUAAUUUAGGCAGGUGUUUAUAAGGAUAGAUCUGAAUCUUAAUAGGGUCAGUAUUAAUAAGCAUAGCCCUUAGCCUUUGGAUAUGGUUCUUAUUCCUAAGCUAUGGCCCUUCUAGGAUUUCAGUGGAAUGUUCAAAUUGUUUACCGGGCUCCUCUCAAUUGGAGGGACUCUGUCUUUCCAGUAUUAGGCAACUGUUGACAUCUCUACUCAGCUCUUUCAUACUUCCAGCUGUUGCUCUCCACUGGAUCCUUGGAUUUUCACCCAGCACAUGUCAGGAGUCAGCUAAGGAUUUGAGAGUUUGUAUGAAAAUAUUGCAACCCCCAUCUGUGGCUCUCUUCUUUAUGGACUUUCCCUGACCAAUAUUCAGCCUUUCUGAGAGCCCUGAACACUGGUCCUGACUUCCAAGCCCAGCAAAACUGCCCCUUUGCUUGAGUGUAUCCUCCACACGUUGGGAAGUACCCCGGAUAAAUGUGGAUCUCAACAAGUGUGUUUUCCUUCUUUCAAGGUAUGAAUGUUCUCUUGUUCCUGCCUGUUUUUGGUUCCUCUUCAGUGCCUUCAAAUGACUGGUUUUUAUAUUUUGUCCAGAGUUUGUAAUUGUUACUGGCAGGAGGCUUAGUCUGUUAUAAAUACUUUACCAUUACUAGAAACCAGAAUAGGAGCAGCAGUAAAAUGGUGAGUGAGAGGUAGCCAGACCUUCAUUUUUUAACCUUCUCCUUCCUUCUGUCUCCCCUCUCUGCCAUCAAUCUUUCCACCACUGACCCUCACCUAGAAAGGCCCUGGAUCUCAGUAAGAAGAAAGGAACAGAAUAGGCUAUUGGCAUGAAGGGGUGGCUCAAGAAUUUGGGGAAGAAAGAUGAUCUCCCUCUGCAAAGACAUCAGCUCUUUAAUCUCCUAUUUCUUGUGAGCAGGCCUACUUUGGAGGACUGAAAUCCUAAUGUAUACACAAUGGUAUUCUGCACAGAGAGGAGAGUGAGAGAAAGGCAACCUUUGCCAUGUGAUUGGACUCAGAUCUGUUUACCAGAUCAAAGCCCGUGGGUAAUGGAAACUUCAGAGGGGGAGAGGGUGGGCCCGGGGAGCAGUGCCCGCAGCAGCUACUUAGCUGAGUGCAUCAUUCUGUACGCUCUGGAGCCUGAACUGCAUGGCUUGGAAAUGCUAGCUCUCUUCAGACUUGUCACAGGAGGGUUCUGGGGCGCUGGAAGUGCUCAGGGAUGCUGGAUGCUAGGAAUGUUUAUAGAGUGAAGCUGCUGGAUCACGUUCCUCUCCUAUUCUGUAGACAUCUCUUGUUUCUUAAGGGAAAAGCAACAAGUUCUUGGUUCCCCUAACAUGUGUGUAGCUAAUUUUGAAACUAUUAACAUUUCCUGAUGAUAAACUUUUUUUUUUUUUUUUUUUAAUAGCCAGCAGAAAUGUAUUUCUUCUAGUUCUGGAGGCUGGAAGUCUAAGAUCAGGGUGCCGGCAUAGUCAGCUCCCUCCCAUUUCUGAUCCGAUGAGGCCUGAUCUGGUGACAGCUCAUUUUGCAGACAACACAACUGGAGAAAAUCCAGGUAUGAAGUCCAGGUAGAGUCGAUGGGAUAGAGGUAGAAAGAGAUCACUAUGAUGUACUUGCAAUUAUGUCUGGUGACUUCUCCUUGCAUUCUUACAUAAGCCAGAUAAGUAUGUCUUUAUUAAUGGAGAGGGGUAGUGGCAAGGGGUGGGAUGGAGGAAUGCAUUUCACAACUUUAUAUAUAUAUAUGUCUUCAAUUUGAAACUUCUCUUGGUUUCCAUAGCCCAGCUGCAGAAGGCCACCCAAUUAGUUAAAAAGAAAAAAGGUUUGAGAUCAUGGCUGGGUUACUUCAUGUGGACUAAAAUAGAGGAAAUGGCUACAAUUGCUUUGCCAGGGAUGUCCAACCCUGCAUUAGACUAAAAAGGCAUCUUACAGCAUCGGACAACUUAAAAAGAUGUAAUAAGGGAACUGCCUACUUUGCACAUCUGUUAAGAACAUCUGGCUCUGGCCUGAGCCCUGGUAACUUUGACAGUUAGUUGGUGGCCCACAGAUUGAAAAAGAGACAAACCCUCAACCUGUCAGCCUCGUCUGUGGAAUUUCCUGGUGGCAUAACUACCAAGCUCAAGGGCGAAAAGCAGCUGGGGCAUUUGUGCAGCUGCCCACAUUGCCUGUGCUGAGCUUACUUCCUGACGGCGGAUUUAAAAGAGAGGGGCUUUUGAAGACUCAGGUGCUGGCCUCAGAAAGCAGUACCUCUGCACCCUGCCCCAGAGGGCCCUUCACCAUGAGCAUCUUGGGGGGCGUCUAGGAGGCUUAAUCCCUCAAUUACUGCUCUCUUUCUUUUGUGGUACUGGGUUGUUGACGAGAUGUGCCCUGUGGCAGGUUGCAUUUUCCAAAGAUGGUUGUGACGACAUCCCUCAUCCCACGUGCUCGUCUGCAGUGCUACUGUCAAGAGGCAGAGGCUUCUGUCCCUGCCCUUGAAUGGAACCGGCCACAGUGACAUGCUUGCAUCCAAUAAUGUGGCAUGGAGGUGGUGACUUCUGAGGUUAGGCCAGGAAAGCCAUGCAGCUUCCUCCAGGUUUUCUCACAAGACUUGCUUUCUGGACAUCCCUCCUGAGGUGCUCUAUCUCAGAGCUGGUCGCCAUGCUGUGGGAAACCCAAGUCACAUGGAAAGGCCACACACGUGUGCUCCUGUUGACAGUGCCAGUGGAGGCUGGCCUUUGAGUCAUUUCAGCCUUGGUACCAGACAUGUACUGGAGAAAGAUGCCCAUUCCUCUGGGACAGUGCAGUCCUGCCCCACAGCACACAGCCUCGCAGGCGAAGUGCAGGCUCCUUUCAUCCCCCUCCUGAACCUGGUCAGAUAUCUUCGGCAGCUUACACACUGCACAGUUGUACACAGCGGCCCUGGAGAAGUGUAAAAGUCUAGCCCUGGAAAUCCUGGUAAAGCUACAAGCAGACUAAAAAGUAUCAUUCACAGCACAAGUGACGUGUAAAACUUGGAAUUGAAAAUAUAUUGGAAUGUGUUUAGGAGAACAGUCAUUUGAUUUAAACAUGAUCUAAACACAUGCUUCACACGGUCAAGUUUAGCUCGUGACAAGAGAAGAAUGGAGAUUGGAUUCUUUGCUGGGCCUAAGUAACCUGAGAUUGUCUGACGGGGGCUUCCAUUAGCCCCGUGUUCACUAAAGCUUGCCACACCACCAGCAAUGGUUUGCACCUUUUCUCAGCGUCUUUGUGGAUGCCAGGUGAGGGGUGGCAGUGAUGAGCAUCCCUUCUGUGGCCACACAGAGUCCACGGGUUUUCAAGGUCUUCAGAGGAGCACUUCAGUUUUCAAGUCAACACCCCUUUUCUUCAUCAACUUUGAGUGAAAAUCGUAAUAAAACACACAACGGGUUGUAAUGGAGAAGCAGCAUACUGUAAUUUGAGAGAAGAAUUACAGAUUUUUAGAAUAAUAUUUGAUGGUGCUUUGGAAUAUUUUUAUGGUUGAACACUUACGUCCUGGGAGCAGGACUCUGUGAGCCUACCUACUUUUCCCAACUAAGCCACCCAGUUUCACUUCUAGUCUGUGGUCAGUUGUCUUCACGGUCAGUCUCCUGGCUGAGACAUAUACGCAGAGCUUCUGGUUCCAACCCUCGCAUUUUAGAGUUCAGAGAAGCGGAGGCCACAGGUAUAGGAGGGACAGAGCUGGUCCCAGAACGUGCCUCAUCCUUCUCAUUGCAGUGCCACUUCUCCCAGGCCGUGCACCACCUUUACAGGCUGCAGGACACCAGAGGACCAGGGACCAGUUGUUAGGAGAGAGGCCAGGGGACAGUUAAAAGUGAUAUUACUUUGUGGCAUUCACAGCUGCGAGGAGUGAUGGCAGCCAGAUGUAUUCAUUCGAUCCAUUCAGUGAUUAUUCAUCCAGUACUUUCUCAUCCAGUACUUUCUAUGUGCUGGGGACUGGUUUAGGCACUUGGGAAACAGAAAUGAACAAAAUUGCAGAAUUCCUCAUCCUCAUGGAGGCCACAUUGUAGCAAAAGGAAAAGGAAGCGCACAGUCCUAACUGUGUCCCAGUCCUGUCCUCAACAAUGUACAUAUGUUAACUCAUUGAAUCCUCACAAUGGCCCUUUGAGGUAGGUAGGAUUGGUUUUUUUUGUUUUUUUUUUUUUUGGUAGGAUUGUUAAUCACAUGUUGCAGGUAAAGAAACUAAGGAACAGGGAAUAAAAAUUAAGAAACUUGCUCAAGGUCAUGCAGCGAGUAAAUAACCAGCCUGGGAUCCAGCACUAGCUAUUUGGCUGUGAAUUCCUGCUCUGAACCACUGCACUUGACUGCCUGAUUCAUGAGUGAGGUUAGAGCCGUGGUCUUCUUUCUUUUCUUUCUUUUUUUUUUCCUAUAAGCAGCGGAAGCCUCCCUCUUUUUAGAAAUGAACUUCCAUGUGGAGGACCAAAAAAUAAAAUAAUAAAAGUGGCCCUGUUCUGGAUGAAGAGAAUGGAGAGGGUGGGGAAUUCACAUUGUUCUCGCUGGAUGGCAGGAGCUGAUCAGUAGAUGCCUGCUUCCAGAGAGCCUCUGCUCCUCCUUGGUUCCCACCCUGUUAGACCUGGCACCCUGCACCAAGGCUUUAGAAAGAGCUGGAGUGGAUGUACGGAAAAUGGGACAACAGACACGUCUGGGUCAGCCCUGGGAGGUUAGAGGAGUUGUAGUAGUGGUGCCAGCAGAAUAACUCAGGAAUUUUCAGUCUAUACCCCGACAGUGUGUGUUUGGGGGACUCUCUCCCAUCCUUUGAGAAUAACUGAUGCUGUGGUGCUCUUCUGUGCCUGAUGGCAGAGGGUCUUAUAAGGGGGAGAGUGGGAGGUUGAAGGUACACUGAAAACCCGGGGAUGCUUUUCUUCUUCUCAUCAUUCCUUCUUUUGCCUCCUGCCUUGACUAUCUCUGGCCCUGCGUGAUGGAGCCACAGACAGUGCCAGAAAGAGGCCUCACAGCUCUCGGGCUGAUGGUGUGUAUCCCUUUGAACAUCCACUGAGGUCAAGUUUUACAGACUUCUAAUGGCUACUGUGGCAGUAUCGAGGCAAUGGCCUUCUAGUGGCACCGUUAUUUCACCAUCUCUUAAAAGAGUAGAAUAAAUAUUACCCCUGCUCUUCCCAAGGAACCUGCCCAAAGUUGCCAGAUUCAAAGUUUCAAAGGGCAGUUCCUGGGGUAUUUUGUUUCCGAAAGUCCUGGAACGGAGCAGUUUAUAAAGUCAUUUUGCUAAGCCUUUCUUUUGCAGCCACUCCCAUUCCCAGCCCUCAGUAAUCAGCUGGAAGUUUGGAGAUCACUUGCCCUGGCCAGCCUGGAGGUAGCUUUUCCCCAGCUACUCCUCCAGGUUCCUUUUCACUGGCCUCUGCUUUGAAUUGUUAAUUUCCUCUCUGAAGGCACUGUCUGACUUUGUUAGCAGGUCUGACACUGUCUGGCUGCUUGCAAAGAGCAACUAGUGCCAAUAAGGUGCCAGCACUCUUCUAGGCAUGGGAGACAUAAAGGGGAAAAAAUCCUUUUUCUAACCUCAAGGUGCUCACAGUUUAGUGGGGAGACAGCCAGGUAAACACGAAAUCACACCGUGGUGUGAUAUCGUAUUGUAAUUGUCAAAGGAAGGCUGUAGUGGGAACGGGACAGAAGGAUUCAUCAUGUGCUUGGGAGAAGCAGGGAAGGCUUUCCGUGUGAGGCAACCGAGAGCUGAGACUUGGAAGAAAAGGAAGAACUUCAGGGGUAUGUACAUCAAGUUGGAAGAAAACCACUGCCAAGGGCUUUGUGGCAUCACGCCACAUGCCAUAUCUAAGGCACUGACUGGGCUGUGUUACCAAAAGAGAGAGGCACUGGGUUCCUAUUCCUACCUCUCUAUAAUCAGGACAAAUCAAAAGUCUUAGUUUAGAAGUUGAUCAUUGCUUCCUUUGAAUUCUCGCCAGAACCUCCUUGAAAACCGGUGCUUUUUAAAAUUUCACCUUCCCCUUUCCCAUCCCAUCUCACCCCCAGGAACAAAUAUAAUGACUUUGCCAAUUAGCACUAAAUAAUGGGAGCUGAGUUGAACAACGAAAGAAUAAAAUGGGAAAUAAAAGAUGGAAAUUAGCCAGCCAGAUUGGGGAGAGCCUUCAAUAUCAGGCUAAGGCAUGUGGGCUUUACUUGGUAGCAGAAGCAAGAAUCUGAUGAGACAAGUAGUAGUAGUGGAGACAAGUUGGAGCUAGAGCUAAGGUUUAGGCCGUCUUCAGUAUGCUGCGAAACAUUAGCUGAAAGCAGCCAGAUGGUAAAAACUUCUCAGUGAAGAGAGAACCCGAAAAGAAAAGAAACGAGAGCUGCACAUGUAAUCUUGAAGACACAACAGUUAGAGAGCAGACCCAGAAAAACCUGUCUUAAAGCAUUGGCUUCCACGUUUGCGGAUAUUAAUAGCACCACCCAGUCUGUCUGCUACUAGGAGUCAUUGAAAUAAUGCAAGAAAAGUGCUUAACACAUUGCCUGGUGCAGAGCACUUAAUAAAUAUUACUCUUCAUUAUUAUUAUAGAAGAGUGAUUUUUUUGUUUUUUGCAUUGAGAUAAGGUCAACUGAUGUACAAAUACUAAUUGUUAAUAUAUGCAUUGAUGAUUUGUUGCCCGGUAACUAUGAUUUUUGAAGUGACAAACUCAUUUCAGUGUUUGCCUUUUAAUUAAAAUGGGUACUUCGGCAUUUUAAAAUUCAUUUUUGAAGGAACCCCCUACUGAGCUGCAGCAUCUCAGGCACAGCAGGGGUAUACUACCAUUUUUAAAAAGCCAGCUAACAAUUAAUGUCAUAAUUUUAUAUUUAUCCUGCUAAUUACGGCAAAGACAAAUCCCAGUUUGUCCACGACUGUGCAAACAAACAAAGAAGGCUUAGCACCAUGAGGCAAGUUACUUGCAAAUUUGCAUAUUAAUUACUGUUUACCACCUCUGCUCCUGUGGCUGAUUACUUCUAACAAAGAGCAGACGUAUACAGUGGCUUGGAUCGUCUGAGACAACCUGAAAUGCAGCCCGCCACUCUCUGAGCAGGCUAGGAGGCUGCUGUGCUUACUAGUGGUGACAUGACCAGAAGGGAACAGUCCACACUCCUGGCUCAAGGGAUCUUUAUGUGAAGAGGCAUUAAGGUUUCUGAGAUGCAUUUUAUAAAGCAUAACAGACAACAAAAGUGAUCCUACAGAUUCUCACUCAAAUAAGACCAUCUU